UACGGCCGUAUCAAUAUUAAAACACCGGUUUUCGUCCGACCCCUGAAGUUAAGCACCAUUGAUCUAGGUCAAUAACUAGGUGGAUAAUCACUUGGGAAUACCAGGUGCUGCAAG